rnacentral:rRNA from 1 species
UACGUAGGCAGCAAGCGUUGUUCGGAGUUACUGGGCGUAAAGGGUGCGUAGGCGGCUUCUUAAGUCUGGUGUGAAACCUCCCGGCUCAACUGGGAGGGUGCGCCGGAUACUGAGGGGCUAGAGUGUGGGAGAGGAAAGUGGAAUUCCUGGUGUAGCGGUGAAAUGCGUAGAUAUCAGGAGGAACACCGGUGGUGUAAACGGCUUUCUGGACCAUAACUGACGCUGAGGCACGAAAGCGUGGGUAGCAAACAGG